GCCCAUGGCUGUACUACCCAGAAAGAGCCCAAGCCCAUCUGAUCCUGGAAGCUAAGCAGGGUUGGGUCUGGUUAGGACUUGGAUGGGAAAACAUUCUGUAGGGACUGGAAAGAUGGCUC
rnacentral:rRNA from 1 species